UUAUGGUAAGAUUGGUUGCGGUUGAGAUUCCGCUUAAUCGCGCGGUAUUUUGCUGGUAAAUAACACAUUUAUUUGCUAUAACCUAGAAGUUAAAAUGCAGUUAUGGUGGCCACGACUGGACUUGAACCAGCGACCACUACCA
rnacentral:antisense_RNA from 1 species